GUCGAUUCUGCCGGACCCGACUGCUAUCAGAGUGGGACUAAGCCAUGCGAGUCAACAUAGCAAUAUGUGGCAUACGGCUCAGUAACACGUAGUCAACAUGCCCAGGGGACGUGGAUAACCUCGGGAAACUGAGGAUAAACCGCGAUAAGUCACUACUUCUGGAAUGGGUAAUGACUCAAAUCUAUAUGGCCCCUGGAUUGGACUGCGGCCGAUCAGGCUGUUGGUGAGGUAAUGGCCCACCAAACCUGUAACCGGUACGGGCUCUGAGAGGAGGAGCCCGGAGAUGGGCACUGAGACAAGGGCCCAGGCCCUAUGGGGCGCAGCAGGCGCGAAACCUCUGCAAUAGGCGAAAGCCUGACAGGGUUACUCUGAGUGAUUUCCGUUAAGGAAAUCUUUUGGCACCUCUAAAAAUGGUGCAGAAUAAGGGGUGGGCAAGUCUGGUGUCAGCCGCCGCGGUAAUACCAGCACCCCGAGUGGUCGGGACGUUUAUUGGGCCUAAAGCAUCCGUAGCCGGUUCUACAAGUCUUCCGUUAAAUCCAACUGCUUAACAGGUGGGCUGCGGAAGAUACUAUAGAGCUAGGAGGCGGGAGAGGCAAGCGGUACUCGAUGGGUAGGGGUAAAAUCCGUUGAUCCAUUGAAGACCACCAGUGGCGAAGGCGGCUUGCCAGAACGCGCUCGACGGUGAGGGAUGAAAGCUGGGGGAGCAAACCGGAUUAGAUACCCGGGUAGUCCCAGCUGUAAACGAUGCAGACUCGGUGAUGAAUUGGCUUUAUGCCUAUUCAGUGCCGCAGGGAAGCCGUUAAGUUUGCCGCCUGGGGAGUACGGUCGCAAGACUGAAACUUAAAGGAAUUGGCGGGGGAGCACCACAAGGGGUGAAGCCUGCGGUUCAAUUGGAGUCAACSCCGGG
rnacentral:rRNA from 1 species